UUUGGAAUUGCCUCUUUGAUCUUUUAGAGAAUUGUUGGGUUUGUCCAGAUUUGGUAGAGAAGUUUGUCGGUAGAAAAUGGAGAGGGCUUAGUGAUGGAAUCGAUGGAAAGGAAUUGGCAAAUUUUUGAAUACCAGAUUCUGCCCUUUAAUUUGCUAUGGGAUAAGGUGUAUUUAUCGGUUUCUGUAUGGGCUUCUUUUUCAAGGGAUUUUACAGGAGUGUCUUUAGGUGUCAAUUCAACGUUUUUGAAGGGCACUACUUUAUUAUUCCUCUGUCAAUGUUGCUUGUAAUUUUCUGUUGCUCUGG
rnacentral:misc_RNA from 1 species